rnacentral:rRNA from 1 species
AAUAUUGGACAAUGGGGGAGAGCCUGAUCCAGCCAUCCCGCGUGCAGGAAGAAGGCCUUCUGGGUUGUCAACUGCUUUUAUACAGGACUAAACCACUUUACGUGCAAGGUGCUGAAGGUAAUGUAUGAAUAAGCAUCGGCUAACUCCGUGCCAGCAGCCGCGGUAAUACGGAGGAUGGAAGGGGUAUCCGGAUUUAUUGGGUUUAAAGGGUCCGUAGGCGGGCAUAUAAGUCAGAGAUGGAAUCCGACAGGUUAACUGUCGAACUGCCUUUGAAACUGUAUGUCUUGAGUGAGAUUGAAGCAGCUGGAAUGUGUAGUGUAGCGGUGAAAUGCAUAGAUAUUACACAGAACACCGAUAGCGUAGGCAGGUUGCUAAGUCUUUACUGACGCUGAUGGACGAAAGCGUGGGGAGCAAAC